rnacentral:rRNA from 13 species
CUUAGAUGUUCUGGGCCGCACGCGCGCUACACUGACGAACUCAGCGAGUUUAUAACCUUGGCCGGAAGGUCCGGGUAAUCUUGUGAAAGUUCGUCGUGAUGGGGAUAGUCCCUUGCAAUUAUUGGACUUCAACGAGGAAUUCCUAGUAAGUGCGAGUCAUCAGCUCGCGUUGAUUACGUCCCUGCCCUUUGUACACACCGCCCGUCGCACCUACCGAUUGAAUGAUUCGGUGAAAAUCUCGGACUUUGGCAUGGAACUUUAUUGUGACUUGCCGAGGGAAGUUAUUUAAACCUCAUCAUUUAGAGGAAGGUGAAGUCGUAACAAGGUUUCCGUAGGUGAACCUGCUGAA